rnacentral:rRNA from 1 species
GAUGAACGCUGGCGGCGUGCCUAAUACAUGCAAGUCGAGCGAACAGACGAGGAGCUUGCUCCUCUGACGUUAGCGGCGGACGGGUGAGUAACACGUGGAUAACCUACCUAUAAGACUGGGAUAACUUCGGGAAACCGGAGCUAAUACCGGAUAAUAUAUUGAACCGCAUGGUUCAAUAGUGAAAGACGGUCUUGCUGUCACUUAUAGAUGGAUCCGCGCCGCAUUAGCUAGUUGGUAAGGUAACGGCUUACCAAGGCAACGAUGCGUAGCCGACCUGAGAGGGUGAUCGGCCACACUGGAACUGAGACACGGUCCAGACUCCUACGGGAGGCAGCAGUAGGGAAUCUUCCGCAAUGGGCGAAAGCCUGACGGAGCAACGCCGCGUGAGUGAUGAAGGUCUUCGGAUCGUAAAACUCUGUUAUUAGGGAAGAACAUAUGUGUAAGUAACUGUGCACGUCUUGACGGUACCUAAUCAGAAAGCCACGGCUAACUACGUG